rnacentral:rRNA from 1 species
GAUGAACGCUAGCUACAGGCUUAACACAUGCAAGUCGAGGGGCAGCAUGGUCUUAGCUUGCUAAGGCCGAUGGCGACCGGCGCACGGGUGAGUAACACGUAUCCAACCUGCCGUCUACUCUUGGACAGCCUUCUGAAAGGAAGAUUAAUACAAGAUGGCAUCAUGAGUCCGCAUGUUCACAUGAUUAAAGGUAUUCCGGUAGACGAUGGGGAUGCGUUCCAUUAGUUAGUAGGCGGGGUAACGGCCCACCUAGUCUUCGAUGGAUAGGGGUUCUGAGAGGAAGGUCCCCCACAUUGGAACUGAGACACGGUCCAAACUCCUACGGGAGGCAGCAGUGAGGAAUAUUGGUCAAUGGGCGCAGGCCUGAACCAGCCAAGUAGCGUGAAGGAUGACUGCCCUAUGGGUUGUAAACUUCUUUUAUAAAGGAAUAAAGUCGGGUAUGUAUACCCGUUUGCAUGUACUUUAUGAAUAAGGAUCGGCUAACUCCGUG